rnacentral:lncRNA from 1 species
UUACUGGAGAUUUAGGUGUUAAAACACCCAAAUCAAAUGAUGGAAUUUCGCCUAUUUUUUGACAUUUGGGAGUAUUCUGUUUUUUCACCAUUUUGAAUAUGGAUAAUUUUUUUUUCACUGAAAAUGUGUUUUCUUUGAAGAACUUUGAAGAUUUUUGGCGAGAGAAUGCUGCUAAUGGAGAAGAUGACAAUGGAGAGAAACAGUGAAAAGAAGAGAAAGAGGUAAAGGUAUAUGAAAGUACACGGGGGGUGGGGUGUAGUUUUUAUUGGGAAAUGUUAGCAGUUUAUGGAAGAAAUAUAAAAAUUAACAAAAAAAAACGUGGGGUUAAUUAAUAAUGUUAAAAAUCUGGUGGAAGAAAGAGAAAAAAAUGGGGAAAGAAAAUAUGGAAAUAUUAUUUUCUUCCACAUUUGAGGAUUUUUGGCGAGAGAAUGCUGCUAAUGGAGAAGUUGAAAAUGGAGAGAAACAGUGAAAAGAAGAGAAAGAGGUAAAGGUAUAUGAAAGUACACGGGGGGUGGGGUGUAGUUUUUAUUAGGAAAUUUUAGCGGUUUAUGGAAGAAAUAUAAAAAUUAACAAAAAAAACGUGGGGUUAAUUAAUAAUAUUAAAAAUCUGGUGGAAGAAAGAGAAAAAAAAUGGGGAAAGAAAAUAUGGAAAUAUUAUUUUGUUCCACAAAUAAAGCCCCUAAU